CAACUUUCAACAACGGAUCUCUUGGCUCUCGCAUCGAUGAAGAACGCAGCGAAAUGCGAUAAGUAAUGUGAAUUGCAGAUUUUCGGUGAAUCAUCGAAUCUUUGAACGCACCUUGCGCUCCUUGGUAUUCCGAGGAGCAUGCCUGUUUGAGUGUCAUUA
rnacentral:rRNA from 1 species